rnacentral:rRNA from 1 species
UACGUAGGGUGCAAGCGUUGUCCGGAAUUAUUGGGCGUAAAGGGCUCGUAGGCGGUCCGUCGCGUCGGGAGUGAAAACUCGGAGCUUAACUCCGAGCCUGCUUCCGAUACGGGCAGACUAGAGGUAGGCAGGGGAGAGCGGAACUCCUGGUGUAGCGGUGGAAUGCGCAGAUAUCAGGAAGAACACCGGUGGCGAAGGCGGCUCUCUGGGCCUUACCUGACGCUGAGAAGCGAAAGCGUGGGUAGCGAACAGG